rnacentral:rRNA from 1 species
UACGUAGGGGCCGAGCGUUGUCCGGAGUUAUUGGGCGUAAAGCGCGCGCAGGCGGCCUCGCGCGCCCGACGUGAAAGCCCCCGGCUUAACCGGGGAGGGUCGUUGGGGACGGCGGGGCUUGAGGGCGGGAGAGGUCGGUGGAAUUCCCGGUGUAGUGGUGAAAUGCGUAGAGAUCGGGAGGAACACCUGUGGCGAAGGCGGCCGACUGGGCCGACCCUGACGCUGAGGCGCGAAAGCGUGGGGAGCAAACGGG